rnacentral:rRNA from 1 species
AGACCCGAAACCCGGUGAUCUAGCCAUGGGCAGGUUGAAGGUUGGGUAACACUAACUGGAGGACCGAACCGACUAAUGUUGAAAAAUUAGCGGAUGACUUGUGGCUGGGGGUGAAAGGCCAAUCAAACCGGGAGAUAGCUGGUUCUCCCCGAAAGCUAUUUAGGUAGCGCCUCGUGAAUUCAUCUCCGGGGGUAGAGCACUGUUUCGGCAAGGGGGUCAUCCCGACUUACCAACCCGAUGCAAACUGCGAAUACCGGAGAAUGUUAUCACGGGAGACACACGGCGGGUGCUAACGUCCGUCGUGAAGAGGGAAACAACCCAGACCGCCAGCUAAGGUCCCAAAGUCAUGGUUAAGUGGGAAACGAUGUGGGAAGGCCCAGACAGCCAGGAUGUUGGCUUAGAAGCAGCCAUCAUUUAAAGAAAGCGUAAUAGCUCACUGGUCGAGUCGGCCUGCGCGGAAGAUGUAACGGGGCUAAACCAUGCACCGAAGCUGCGGCAGCGACACUGUGUGUUGUUGGGUAGGGGAGCGUUCUGUAAGCCUGUGAAGGUGUGCUGUGAGGCAUGCUGGAGGUAUCAGAAGUGCGAAUGCUGACAUAAGUAACGAUAAAGCGGGUGAAAAGCCCGCUCGCCGGAAGACCAAGGGUUCCUGUCCAACGUUAAUCGGGGCAGGGUGAGUCGACCCCUAAGGCGAGGCCGAAAGGCGUAGUCGAUGGGAAACAGGUUAAUAUUCCUGUACUUGGUGUUACUGCGAAGGGGGGACGGAGAAGGCUAUGUUGGCCGGGCGACGGUUGUCCCGGUUUAAGCGUGUAGGCUGGUUUUCCAGGCAAAUCCGGAAAAUCAAGGCUGAGGCGUGAUGACGAGGCACUACGGUGCUGAAGCAACAAAUGCCCUGCUUCCAGGAAAAGCCUCUAAGCAUCAGGUAACAUCAAAUCGUACCCCAAACCGACACAGGUGGUCAGGUAGAGAAUACCAAGGCGCUUGAGAGAACUCGGGUGAAGGAACUAGGCAAAAUGGUGCCGUAACUUCGGGAGAAGGCACGCUGAUAUGUAGGUGAAGUCCCUCGCGGAUGGAGCUGAAAUCAGUCGAAGAUACCAGCUGGCUGCAACUGUUUAUUAAAAACACAGCACUGUGCAAACACGAAAGUGGACGUAUACGGUGUGACGCCUGCCCGGUGCCGGAAGGUUAAUUGAUGGGGUCAGCGCAAGCGAAGCUCUUGAUCGAAGCCCCGGUAAACGGCGGCCGUAACUAUAACGGUCCUAAGGUAGCGAAAUUCCUUGUCGGGUAAGUUCCGACCUGCACGAAUGGCGUAAUGAUGGCCAGGCUGUCUCCACCCGAGACUCAGUGAAAUUGAACUCGCUGUGAAGAUGCAGUGUACCCGCGGCAAGACGGAAAGACCCCGUGAACCUUUACUAUAGCUUGACACUGAACAUUGAGCCUUGAUGUGUAGGAUAGGUGGGAGGCUUUGAAGUGUGGACGCCAGUCUGCAUGGAGCCGACCUUGAAAUACCACCCUUUAAUGUUUGAUGUUCUAACGUGGACCCGUGAUCCGGGUUGCGGACAGUGUCUGGUGGGUAGUUUGACUGGGGCGGUCUCCUCCUAAAGAGUAACGGAGGAGCACGAAGGUUGGCUAAUCCUGGUCGGACAUCAGGAGGUUAGUGCAAUGGCAUAAGCCAGCUUGACUGCGAGCGUGACGGCGCGAGCAGGUGCGAAAGCAGGUCAUAGUGAUCCGGUGGUUCUGAAUGGAAGGGCCAUCGCUCAACGGAUAAAAGGUAC